AGGAGCUUCACACACCUUUAGUUCCUUUCCACAACCCCAAUCCCUUGAGCAUCCUUCCAGUCAGCCAGUCCCCUUGCUGCAGUUCAUGAAAAGUGACACUAUUCUAUGCCUUCCCCACAAAGAACCGUUACUUCAGCUUAAGUACCAAUGGAAUGACUUUAAAUCUUGCUGGAUGGGACUGCCACUCACCGCUAAAAAUCGGGGAUCGACAGCAAACUCUGGAUGACCCUGUAACCACAUCUCCAGUUCAGCCCGGCGAGGGGCAUCCUCACCCACCAGCAAAGUACCAUCCACCUUAUUGAUGACAGGGAUCCGGGUCUCCAGGUCCACAUCAAGGUGAUUAGGCUCUUCCACGCACUCCACCUCCAGCUGCAAACCCAGAAUCCACCCCCAUAAGCACAUACUCUUCUUUGAGGGAGGAAGGAAGGGGGAGCAGAGCCAAUGGUAGUCAUGAAAUAGCUCUAGUAUCUUUUAUCCCCUCAAUCCCAACUGCCUUCAUCAAUUAUUAGGAAUAAAAAGACAAUUUAAU